rnacentral:lncRNA from 1 species
GACGUGUCAGCAUUGCUUCCUGAGAAGCUAACCCUGGCCAGCUCUGCCUACAAACAGGAGACUGUUGAGUUUCUUUUGCAUUUAGCAAGUGUUGGAUUUUUCUAAUGUAUGCAGUCAAAAACAUUUUCCUUUCAAAAUGUGAUGAUACUACAAGUGAGGAGAAAAUAAUUGUACAGUGGGAUUGGGAAGAAUCCUGUUGUAAAACAUCUUAUCAGCUUUCAGGAGACAAUUUAGUAAAGGCUGCUGUGAUGCAAAACUGGAUCCCUAGCAUCAUAAGGCGGUUCUCUGGACUAUCACUAAAAGUAAAAUUAGAAAAUUACAAAAAGUAGAAGAAAAAUACCCAACUGCUUCUAAAUUCAAGGACGAUCUACUUGAACUUCUUGUUCCAGGAGUUUCAGCAAGAAACAUGACAGAAAUAAAGAGAUCACAGACCAAGAAAAACCUAGAGAA